CUUCAAACAUGCAAGUCGAACGGAGUUAAUUUUGAAGCUUGCUUUAGAAUUAACUUUAGUGGCGGACUGGUGAGUAACGCGUGAGUAAUCUGCCCUAUCACAGGGGGAUAACAGAGGGAAACUUCUGGCUAAAUACCGCAUAAAGACCACAGGAUGGCAUCAUCAAGGGGUCAAAGGUUAGAUCUGGUGAUAGAUGAGCUUGCGUAUCAUUAGCUAGUUGGUGAGGGUAAAGGCCCGACCAAGGCGACGAUGAUUAGCCGAUCUGAGAGGAUGACCGGCCACACUGGGACUGAGAUACGGCCCAGACUCCUACGGGAGGCAGCAGUUAGGGAAUAUUGGGCAAUGGAGGGAAAACUCUGACCCAGCAACGCCGCGUGAAGGAAGAAGGUUUUCGGACUGUAAACUUCUGAUUCUAAGGGGAAAAAGAAAGUGAUGGUACCUUAGGAGAAAGCCACGGCUAACUACGUGCCAGCAGCCGCGGUAA
rnacentral:rRNA from 1 species